CAGCCGCCGCGGGAAUACGUAGGGGGCAAGCGUUGUCCGGAAUUAUUGGGCGUAAAGCGCGCGCAGGCGGUUUUUUAAGUCUGGUGUCUAAGUGCGGGGCUCAACCCCGUGACGCACUGGAAACUGGGAGACUUGAGUGCAGAAGAGGAGAGCGGAAUUCCACGUGUAGCGGUGAAAUGCGUAGAGAUGUGGAGGAACACCAGUGGCGAAGGCGACUCUCUGGUCUGUAACUGACGCUGAGGAGCGAAAGCGUGGGGAGCGAACAGGAUUAGAUACCCGCGUAGUCCCUGUCUCUUAUACA
rnacentral:rRNA from 1 species